UGAGGAAUAUUGCCCAAUGGAGGAAACUCUGAGGCGGCGACGCCGCGUGGGUGAAGAAGGCCUUCGGGUCGUAAAGCCCUUUUCCAGGUGACGAGAGAAGGACGGUAGCCUGGGAAUAAGUCUCGGCUAACUACGUGCCAGCAGCCGCGGUAAAACGUAGGAGGCAAGCGUUAUCCGGAGUUACUGGGCGUAAAGCGCGCGCAGGCGGAUGGGUAAGUGGGUUGUGAAAGCGCCCGGCUAAACCGGGCGAGGACAAAUCAGACUGCCUAUCUAGAGUCGGAUAGAGGAGCGUGGAAUUCCGGGUGUAGCGGUGAAAUGUGUAGAGAUCCGGAGGAACACCAGUGGUGCAAACGACGCUCUGGGUCCGAACUGACGCUGAGGCGCGAAAGCGUGGGGAGCGAACGGGAUUAGAGACCCCGGUAGUCCACGCUGUAAACGAUGUCAACUAGGUGUCCACUGGACUACGGUUCAGGGGGUGCCGAAGCUAACGCAAUAAGUUGACCGCCUGGGGAGUACGGUCGCAAGG
rnacentral:rRNA from 1 species